CGUUUUGGUAAGGAAGGUCCGCCUUGAGAAUCGCAAGAUCCCACCACGUGGCCUCGGGGGGUCCCCAUGGCGCUCGCCCCGCGCGCCGGUCCCUGCCCGUUCGCGGCCCUUCGGUGUGUAACAGGCGAUCGGUCUCGAGCAGCCGGGAUUUGUCUCCUCUGGGGUGGAGGCGCCACGUCCGGAUGGUCCGGGGUGCUGGGCACAUGUGAGGCUCCCGCGCGCCCAGUAGCGCGGACAUCGCCUAUUUAGGAAGCGGAUGAAAUCGGAGAUGUGAAAGCGGGAAGCAGGAGAAUGCCAGUGUUAGCAAGGACGGAGAUGUGGCCGGCGCUGUGUCCAGGAUGAUAGUGAAUUUAAGCUCUGGAGUCUGAGGUGAACUGGUUCAACUUCCAGAAGAGAAGGUUUUUAUCAAGGAAAAGCCAGUGAGAUUACCUGACGGCGAGUAAGCCAGGUGUUCCUGACGGGGUCCUCAGAUCUACCAUCGCCUGCUAGCCUGACCCCUCAGACUGUCCCCCUUGUGAACAAAGGACGGACUGGUGCACAGUAGCCCUGUGGAUCCGUGCAUCCCAGGUGAAGCCUGCUACUUUGGCAGAAGACAAAGCUCAGCUCUGCUCACCUGGAGGGUCCAGGUUACCGAAGACCCUUUAAAAUUAAAAGUCACCAGGAGAACCGAAGAUGUACUGUCUCCUGACAAUUGUGCGACAGGAAGCUCUUGUGCUUCGUUUCUAUCCAGACAGAGGCCUGUGCCUGGAAUGGCUUGGCCUCCUGGAGGUCCCUGGCCGUCUCCCUACAAACAGAUGGUGACUAGGAUCUAUGCUUGCGGUGGAGGUGACUUCUGUGUUCUAGCCUUGGUGAUCUUAGCAACUUUAAGCCUGUCAACAAUAAUCUAAUUUUAAGAAUAUAGCAGUGUGGGAAGAUGGUCAUGUACCUUUAGAUGUCUCAGGAACUGAAAGUUCAGAGACGGAAACGUCUCACACCAUCAUGAUCCUGAUAAACUCAAUGGCUGCGAUGAAUACAACUGCUGCACCCAUUAGUUCCCAGCAAAUAGGAGAGAAAUUAAUUGCAGUUACUAACAACAUGACUGUUCCAGAAAAGCCUUUCCCCCCUUUUGGGAAAGUUUUGUUUAGCAUGAUUCAGAAUAGUAGUGACUCUUAGAAAGAUCAUAGACAAGUUCCAACAAGCUGAGCAAACUUCUCAAGAGUUAACUAUGGUUAUUUAAACUAUUGUUUGCAGUUGAGAACUGUUUCCUAGACUGUAUGUUUAGCUUUCCUUUUUGCCGGGGACACUUGGUGGGGUGAUGAAUAAGAGCUGGAUGAUUGCCAAUUGUGAUGUACCUGUUCUAACUGCUUAAAUCUAUGCCAAGAAGUAAAGCUUUUUACAGCUGCACACA